UACGUAGGGGGCAAGCGUUGUCCGGAAUCAUUGGGCGUAAAGAGCGUGUAGGCGGCCCGGUAAGUCCGCUGUGAAAGUCGGGGGCUCAACCCUCGAAUGCCGGUGGAUACUGUCGGGCUAGAGUGCGGAAGAGGCGAGUGGAAUUCCUGGUGUAGCGGUGAAAUGCGCAGAUAUCAGGAGGAACACCAAUUGCGAAGGCAGCUCGCUGGGACGUAACUGACGCUGAGGAGCGAAAGCGUGGGGAGCGAACAGG
rnacentral:rRNA from 1 species